UACGGGGGGCAAGGCGUGUUCGGAAUUAUUGGGCGUAAAGGGCUCGUAGGCGGUUUGUCGCGUCGGGAGUGAAAACACCGGGCUUAACUCGGUGCUUGCUUUCGAUACGGGCAGACUAGAGGCAUGCAGGGGAGAACGGAAUUCCUGGUGUAGCGGUGAAAUGCGCAGAUAUCAGGAGGAACACCGGUGGCGAAGGCGGUUCUCUGGGCAUGUCCUGACGCUGAGGAGCGAAAGUGUGGGGAGCGAACAGG
rnacentral:rRNA from 1 species